rnacentral:rRNA from 1 species
CCUACGGGUGGCUGCAGUGAGGAAUAUUGGUCAAUGGACGAGAGUCUGAACCAGCCAAGCAGCGUGAAGGAUGACUGCCCUAUGUGUUGUAAACUUCUUUUAUAAAGGAAUAAAACGAGGCACGUGUGCCUGUUUGCAUGUACUUUAUGAAUAAGGAUCGGCUAACUCCGUGCCAGCAGCCGCGGUAAUACGGAGGAUCCGAGCGUUAUCCGGAUUUAUUGGGUUUAAAGGGUGCGUAGGCGGAUCGUUAAGUCAGUGGUCAAAUUGAGGGGCUCAACCCCUUCCCGCCAUUGAAACUGGCGUGCUUGAGUGGAAGAGAAGUAUGCGGAAUGCGUGGUGUAGCGGUGAAAUGCAUAGAUAUCACGCAGAACCCCGAUUGCGAAGGCAGCAUGCCGGCUUCCGACUGACGCUGAAGCACGAAAGCGUGGGGAUCGAACAGGAUUAGAUACCCCUGUAGUC